rnacentral:miRNA from 1 species
CAGCUUUGCUGAGGUGUCGGGGUGUGUCAUACCCGCACUGGUAAUAUUCCCUGUCUCGGGCAGAAUAAGCAAGG